GAUAAUCAGCUGAAAGUAGCUAUUUAUUGAAAAGGUUAAGUCUGGUCUGUACCUAACAUUGAUAACUGAUUUAUGUCCAUUCAUUUUAUAGCCAUUGAGUGUUUUAUGUUUCUGCAAUUAGAAAUAGAAAAUAGGAAGUCAUGGCUAUUAUUCUUAAAGAAUUUAGAGAAGAUUCCAAGAGGUGGUAAUAGAUUUAUAAAUUGUAGUGAUCCUCAAACCAAAUCUUCCAGAAAAACACCAUUGGAAGUUUAAAAGGUGUUCUGUCCUCCUAAUAAAAUACUCAGCUUAUAAUUGGAAUAUAUGAAUAAUGUGCAUAAUUUGGAUUACUCCUAGAGAGAAGAGUUUUUAAAGUGUAUAUAUUAUGAAUUUUUUAAACUAAAUUACAACUGUAGUGUCCACUGGAUAAGAUAAAAGUAACUUGACUUUUAAGAAUUUCUACUGUACAGUUCAAAAUUUUAAAUAUAAAGAUGGAGUGACUGACUCUGAAAGAACAAAUGUGAAGGUAGGUUUCCUUAUAUUUUAUUUUUCCCUUACUGAAAACUAAGCCUUGAGUGAGAAAUCCCUAGUCAAGGUUGAAAUAAUGAGCAGUUCUUUGAAACAUUUGUUAUAUCCCUGAAGAAAAACAGGUGUUGCUUUGUUUAAAUGGACUAGAUUUACUAAAAAUAACUUUUUUCUCCAUUCCCUGUAACUCAUAAGGCCCCUUAAUAUAAAGGUCAAGCUGUUUCAUGCUUUGAUGUCUUAACAAAACUGGUUAAUCUAGUGUCUAAUAAUACAUUUUUGUCAGCGGUAUUACAAGAUAUUGAUAGGUUUGAUAGGGAGAGCUGAGUUGAUUAAGAUAGUUUCUUUAAAAAAACAAACAAGCCCUCAGAAUUCCAUGUCUCUUGAAAAUACAUGGUUUAUGGGAGUUCCCAUUGUGUGUGGCUCAGUGGGUUAAGAACCUGACAUAGUGUUCAUGAGAAUGUGGGUUCAAUCCCUGACCUCACUCGGUGUGUUAAGGAUUUGGCAUUACCACAAGCUAUGGUGUUGGUUGCAGGUGUGCCUCAAAUCCGGUGUUGCUGUGGCUGUGAUGUAGGCCGGCAGCUGCAGCUUCGAUUUGACCCCUAGCCUGGAAACUUCCAUACCCCUUAGGGGUGGCCAUAAAAGCUAAAAAUAAAAAUACAUGGCUUAGGAAUUCCCUGGUGGCCUAGAGGUUAAGGAUCUGGCAUUGUUACUGCUGUGGCAUGGGUUUGAUCUCUGGCCCAGGAACAUCUGCAUGCUGUGGGCACAGCAAAAAAACAAACAAACAAAAAAAAACAUGUUUCAGUCAGCAAACUUGACAGUAGACCUAAUAGUGAAUGUUUCCAAUGGCUGUCAUUAUCUUAAACUUACUUAUUUAUUAAUCCUGUAAAGUAAAUAUAAAUACGGAAACACACAGACAUUUCGAUCCAAAGCAUUCCUAACUAGAAAUGGCCAAUCUGGAAUUGAACCCAGGCUGGUCUGAUACCAGAGCUCAUAUUUUAACUACCGCUCUGUAAGUGCCUUCUGGGUUUUGCUUGCUAUAUGCAGUCUUAGCUGGUAAAUGUCAUUAGGCUUCUUUGAAAUACUGAAUAACUGGAAUAUCUGGGAUAUUGCUAACUAGCUGGUUAGACUGUUAGUUUUCCCAGCUUGGAAUUAUAGGUGGGGCCAAAGACUAGUUUCACUGAAAUAACAGCAUAAGAAUUAUUUUAUGUUGUGAUAGUAAGAUUAACGAUAGCUUCUGAAUAGCGGAACCUUCUUAAAACUAUUUACAGUUUUUCAGACUACUUUUUUUUUUGUACCCAUGGCUUAUGUCACAAGUUUACGAAAUAUCUUGUGAUUUGAGAUUUACUUUUUACCAGCGUUAAUACAUUUCCUAGUUGGAGUGUUUCAGGAUUUGCUUUAAAUUACUUUGAAUAAAAUGGAGCCAGACUCUAGUAUUUUUAUCUGCAACCAUUAUGAUUUUUCAUGGAAUUCAAUUUUAUCGUCUUAACUUUCUUUCCAGAUUGGAGUUCUUACUCUUUGAAGGUAAAAGCCACUUUAUUAUUAUAAACACUUCUUAGUUGCCCUGUUUUGUACCUUCCCUGGCUUUCUUUUAUGUCUUUGAAGUGGCUGCUCGAAGAUCAUGAACUAUGCUGGGUGUAUAUAUAACCAUGGCUUUGUGUGUUGUUGAUUUUUUGUUUUCACAUCUUUCUGACAAUCUGCAAUUGUUAUCUUUCUGUUUGUGUGUUUUAGAAAUAGGGAAUUGUUUCCAUUUUACUUCAUAACUCAUGAUUUGCCUAGGCUAGGGUCAUAAACUAAAGAUAGAGCAGAAUCAGAACUUAUUUCCUUAUUGUAUAAUAUGCAUAAGCAAAGUUGAAUAGCAUCCUGAUUACCCAUGAACUUUAAGAAAAUCAGUUCUCUGGUGGUAAUAGCCCAUAUAUGUAUUUGUGGCUAGUGAAUAAACAGUAAAGCAAUAUCACAGCUGAGACUUAUGACCUGGAAGAUAUUAAUCAAAGUCAGGUUGGCUCCAGGUAUACCUAGCACUGAGACCAAAUUUACCAUUCUAGAUAGAUGUCUGACAAACCAAGGUGCUGUGCCUUUGGUUGCUUUGGGGUUCCAUCCAGCUUUGUUCUACCUAGGAGAAUUACAGGUCACUUUAAUUGUCAUUAAGUCAAAGCCAGCAUGUUUAUGACAGCAGUGAUCUUCAGGCCAUUUCAGUUGUCUACCCCUGUGCCCCACCCCACCCAGUCAUCAUCCUUGAUUGUCUUGUUAUUUUUGAUAGAAUUCAGUAAACCUUCAAAACUUUUCUGACUUUUGCUGACUCUGUUUGAUCCACAAUUUGUGUAUUUGUCCCUCGUAAUGCCCUCUUCCUAUGUCUUUUAUCCCUCUUUAGAGACUUCAGCCACAGUUAGGGCUUCUGGACUUUAUAUCUCUAAACCCAGUCUUUUAGUCUCAUCUCAUAUGUACCUCCAGAUCACAUGAAAUUUGGUGAUGCUGAAAAACAGAUACUAGUCAUUUAACAAAAGUUUAGUGCAUAAAUGUGUGUCUGGCACUGUGGAUACAAGGAGCAGAUUCUGGCAUAGGGAAGAAAACCAUACAGGCAUGAAGUACAUUUUGGUCCUACAGGUUACAGUCUUAAGUAACCUGGAUUUUCCGUUAAUCAAGUCAUACUGAUUCUAAUAUGAUGUCUUUUCCUUUCUCCCCCUUUUUUUCCCCUCAUAGAAUUUUUUUUUAAUUUGUAUGAUUUUUAUUUUUUCCAUUAUAGUUGAUUCCUUUCUCUACUUAUUAAUUUACUAUCCUAGGAUGGUAGUUCUUAAUCUCAUAAGAAGAUGACUUGGAACCAGUGUAGAAAAAAAUAUCAGACCAGCCAUAAGAGCUAAUUGUUGUACUUUACUACUUCAGUUGACUGGAAGUUUUGUUUUAAAAUAUUCUAGGAAUUGAGCAGUACUUUUAAAGUGAUUGAUUUUAUUAAUUAUAACAGCAUUACAUUCAAUUUUAGACUAUACAUUUAGAGACCCACUUUUAUGAUAAUGUUCUAAGUACCAAAUAUACUGUGGAUAUAAAGGAGCCUUCUUCCAUUAUGGAAUUAAGGAGAAAAUUCACAUUUAGUCAGUUUGAUAUAUCCACAAAUUACAGGUAACAAGAUUACAGGUUAGGAAGCAUUGCUGUAUAUUUUACACGUCAAUUUCUAGAUUGUUAAAAUUCUUUUCCCAAUUUUCCUACCUGAUCUCUCUUACUUCUCUAUUUGUGCUUUGUAAUUGCCAUAGUAAUUAUCACAAAAAUAACAACAUUCUCAUCAUAUGGUGUCAUAUCUAAAUUCUUGGAGUUCCCAUUGUGGCGAAGCAGAAACAAAUCUGACUAGUAUCCAUGAGGGUGCGGGUUUAAACCCUGGCCUUGCUCAGUGGGUCAGGGUCCUGGCAUUGCUGUGAGCUGUGGUGUAGGUUGCCCAUGCAGCUUGGAUCUGGCAUUGCUGUGGCUGUGGUGCAGGCUGGCAGCUGCAGCUCUGAUUCAAACCCUAGCCUGGGAACUUCCAUGUGCCGCAGGUGCUACCCUGGGAAAAAAAAAAAAAGCCUUCCUGAUAUUUUGAAUUUUGAAUUUUGACUUGAUAUCUAGUCCAACCCUCUUCACUCACACUAGUCAAGCAAUAGCUCCCAUUCAUUGAGUUCAUACAGUGUGCCAGACACACGCAGCUAGGUACUUUGUAUUAUCUUUAAUAUUCACUGGCCCAGAGAAGUUGAGUAACAGCCAGGGUUGUACAGCUAGUUCGUCAUAAAGCAAGUAUUAGAACCAAAAUUUUCACUUUUAUCUUUCUUUAGAAAUAUAUUUAUCUUUUUAGAGCCAGAGACAAAGCAUUUUCUUACGUUAGAUUUAUUGAUUUAUAACCGAAGAACAGAAGGUUUAUUCUAGAAGUUUAAAUUUGUAAAAUUUAAUUUGCUAUUGUAUGCCUCUAUUCUGUCCUUAGCAUCAUAAAAUAUUUAACAUUUUAUAAUUGCUACAUGUUUCCUUCUUUAUAUAUACAAAAGCUUUAGAUUUGUAGAGCAAAGGCAUGAAAGACACACUACAUCUAUAUUUCCAUCUCCUCCUAAUAUCAAAAGUAAUAAUUGAUGCCAGGCAAGAGGGGUGUCACUAUGGAAAGAACAUUUGAAAGAAUUUGACUAAAGCCAUUCUGAAAGUUAAGUAUCAUUAGAUAUAUUGGCAAAACCUGAAUUCAGGUUCCAGCCAUUCAGGGAGCCCAUCAGGGAGAUAAGGAGAUAAUAGCUGAUAAGGAAAUAUUUAAGUGAACAUGUGCACUGUUUAGUGCUGAUAGCUGGCAUUUAAGUGCUUGCUGUGUGUUAGGUACUGUUCAUAGUGCUUUUUGGGUGUUUUCUUUUAAUCCUCACAGCUUCGCUUUUACAGAUGACACAGAUACAGGAACAUUUUGUAGUAGAGCAGUGAUUCAAAUACUUAAUAACUGGUCUGUUCCAAAGAGCCCCAUAUCUCAGUAAAUUAGAAGGAAAAAACAAAUAGAACUCCACAGUAUUACAGAGAAAGGUUUUUAUUUUAUUUUUUAUUUUGGUGUUUUUUCUCUCCUCCUCCUUGCAGCUUUUUUUUUUUUUUUUUCCUUGCAGCUCAUCUCUUCCCUAUGUUCUGUAUUGAUUCCCCCCACACACACAUGUGCACAUUUAAGUUUUGCUCUUUUUCCCCUUUCCUUUUAAAAGUAUUUCAGCAUUCUCAGGAGCAGAAAACUGGAAGUUUAUUCAUAAGUUUAGAAAUUUUAUAAAAGACUUCAAAAUAAUUAUACUUCAUUGACCUAUGUCUUGUCCUGAAAUUUUUUAUUUGAAUUUAUGUUAUUUAGGGGGAGGGCUAUUAAAAUAUUUUCUCUGCCUGUUUAUGAUACAUUUUAGAUCUCCCACAUUUUUCCCUUGGAGAUUUAUCAGGAGAUGGUGUAGAGGUUUGGUAAGUAAUACAGUUUGAUUUUGUAUGUUUGAAGGGUUUCUCAUUAAGUCAUAUAUUUGAGUUUUCUUUAUUCUGGCCUUUUUUUCCCCUAGUGAUUCUUUUUACAGUAUUGAUUGAAAAUCCUUACAUUAAUGCUAAUUUUGAUCUUUUUUUUCACUAGCAUAUAUUGGAGCUCUCAGACUUGAAGAAGGAUAUAGGUAAAAAAUAUAAUAUGGAAAAUUUUCUAACAUUAGGGUUAUGAAGUCUUUCCUUUAGUUGCAUACUUGCCAAGUUCAGUCUGAAAAUUAUUUACAUAAGAAGUUAAGUGGUAUAGCUUUUGCCAAAAUGAUUAUGGAUAUUCAAUUAUUUUUUAUUUUGAUAAAUAUAACAGUUCUCAAUUCUUCAGAUCAGGGAAGUUGGUCUCAUGUUACAUUAGGAAAUACUUAGGACUUUAAAAUAUUUUCCCUUUGUGUGAAAUUUUAUGCAGAACUUGAAUUAAUUGUAAAAUGAAUAGCAAAUAUUAAUCUAAAACACAUUUUAGAUUUAUCAGAAUCAGGCCUUAUUGCUGUUUUGUCUCAAAUGCUUUCUUAUUUCCCCAGAACCCUCAUUGGAUAUAAACUCCAUAUCAUGUCUCACAUAUCCAAGCCAAGUGUGCCAAGAUGAACCCUGUAUGUCCUUGUAAGUGCUUUUCUAUGACUAGAAGCUUUAGAAGAC
rnacentral:lncRNA from 1 species